rnacentral:rRNA from 1 species
UAGUCUGGUGCCAGCAGCCGCGGUAAUUCCAGCUCCAAUAGCGUAUAUUAAAGUUGUUGCAGUUAAAACGCUCGUAGUCGGAUUUCGGGGCAGGUUUGCCGGUCUGCCGAUGGGUAUGCACUGGUAGAACUGUCCUUCCUUCCGGAGACGGCGCCUACUCUUAACUGAGCGGGUGUCGGAGACGGAUCGUUUACUUUGAAAAAAUCAGAGUGUUUCAAGCAGGCAGCUCGCUUUUGCAUGGAUUAGCAUGGGAUAAUGAAAUAGGACUUUGGUGCUAUUUUGUUGGUUUCGAACACCGAAGUAAUGAUUAACAGGGACAGUCAGGGGCACUCGUAUUCCGCCGAGAGAGGUGAAAUUCUUAGACCAGCGGAAGACGAACCACUGCGAAAGCAUUUGCCAGGGAUGUUUUCACUGAUCAAGAACGAAAGUUAGGGGAUCGAAGACGAUCAGAUACCGUCGUAGUCUUAACCGUAAACCAUGCCGACUAGGGAUUGGAGGAUGUUCCUAUGUGACUCCUUCAGCACCUUUCGGGAAACUAAAGUCUUUGGGUUCCGGGGGGAGUAUGGUCGCAAGGCUGAAACUUAAAGGAAUUGACGGAAGGGCACCACCAGGAGUGGAGCCUGCGGCUUAAUUUGACUCAACACGGGGAAACUUACCAGGUCCAGACAUUGUGAGGAUUGACAGAUUGAGAGCUCUUUCUUGAUUCGAUGGGUGGUGGUGCAUGGCCGUUCUU